rnacentral:ncRNA from 1 species
UCUUAGAGCCUCCGUGUGUCGUAGUGUUAAUAGUCAUGCAUUUGGCCGUGUAUGGCGGUUAGUGAAUC